GUCCCUGCCCAGGUGCAGAGAGGAGGAGAGAACAUGCUGGAAACAGAGCCCCCAACCCACAUGGAGGAGCCACCGUGCUCCAGCCCAGCUGGGGACAAAGGCAUCAUUGUGAGGCCAACAGACACCCCUUUGUCCAACUAGCAGGAGGCGAGGACCCCGUCAUAGUCUGACCACCCCCCUUCCCGAGGGCCCUGAACUAUUGCUCUACUACCUGAGGGAAAGGGGCCCCGGCAUCUGAGGGCAAGGGGAGGAAAUGAAGGAAGAAGAUGGGCAGGACGGGAGGAGAGGGGGUUCAGAAGGGAAGAAGUAAACAGUUCCCAGUUUCCAGUUUCACCUGCACUUUGAGGUCACACAGCCAUCUUCCUCCCCACCAACAUGUAUCAGAAUGAAGGGACAGAAGAAAAGAGACAGAGAUCCAGACUGAGGAUUGGUGGAGAGCCAGAAGCUCAGUUACCUGGACAAGAAAUGAAAAGCAGACUUCAUUGUUUCUUACUCUCUGGUGGGAGGAGAGGUGGAAAGAAGAAAUAAGGAAAGACCAAGGGUUGGAGAAGAAAAGAAAGCUGGAACAAUUUAAUUCAGAUAAAAUCUGAAAUGUCCAAGUAACUUACCUUCUGUGCACCAUUUUCUGCUUUUUCUUUUCAUACCCUAACACCACUCCUCCCACCCAAUUACCCCUUUUUCCUCAAGGACCUCUAAACCAUUGGUACUAUGUCUUUAUUUUAUUCUUUAAAUAAUCCAUCAACUGCCCUUCAUAUCCAGAACUAUAAACUUGCAGACACUGUUAACUUCUUUGCCCUUUUCCCCCUCCAUUCAACUUU